rnacentral:rRNA from 1 species
UACGAAGGGGGCUAGCGUUGCUCGGAAUCACUGGGCGUAAGGCGCACGUAGGCGGAUUGCUAAGUCAGGGGUGAAAUCCUGGAGCUCAACUCCAGAACUGCCUUUGAUACUGGCGAUCUUGAGUCCGGGAGAGGUGAGUGGAACUGCGAGUGUAGAGGUGAAAUUCGUAGAUAUUCGCAAGAACACCAGUGGCGAAGGCGGCUCACUGGCCCGGUACUGACGCUGAGGUGCGAAAGCGUGGGGAGCAAACAGG